AGAGUUUGAUCAUGGCUCAGAACGAACGCUGGCGGCGUGGAUAAGACAUGCAAGUCGAGCGCUGAUUACAGGGUAGCAAUACUCUGUAGUCGGAGCGGCGCAAGGGUGCGUAACACGUGGGUAAUCUGCCAUGAAGUUUGGGAUAACUUGCUGAAAGGCGAGCUAAUACCGGAUGUGAAAAUUGGGAGGCAUCUUCUGAUUUUCAAAGCUGGGGACCGUAAGGCCUGGCGCUUCAUGAUGAGCCCGCGGCCUAUCAGCUAGUUGGUAAGGUAACGGCUUACCAAGGCUAAGACGGGUAGCUGGUCUGAGAGGACGACCAGCCACACUGGAACUGAGACACGGUCCAGACACCUACGGGUGGCAGCAGUCGAGAAUUUUUCACAAUGGGCGCAAGCCUGAUGGAGCGACGCCGCGUGGGGGAUGAAUGGCUUCGGCCCGUAAACCCCUGUCAUUUGCGAUCAAACCUCGUUAUUUAAAAGAUGACGAGCUGAUAGUAGCGAAAGAGGAAGGGACGGCUAACUCUGUGCCAGCAGCCGCGGUAAUACAGAGGUCCCAAGCGUUGUUCGGAUUCACUGGGCGUAAAGGGUGCGUAGGUGGCGAGGUAAGUCGGAUGUGAAAGCUCGGAGCUCAACUCCGAAAUGGCAUUGGAAACUACCUUGCUCGAGGGUCGGAGGGGGGACUGGAAUACUUGGUGUAGCAGUGAAAUGCGUAGAUAUCAAGUGGAACACCAGUGGCGAAGGCGAGUCCCUGGACGACUCCUGACACUGAGGCACGAAAGCUAGGGGAGCAAACAGGAUUAGAUACCCUAGUAGUCC
rnacentral:rRNA from 1 species